CAAUUUUUUUUUUAUUUAAUGCACGAAAAAAAUACAACAUAUAGUAAAAAAACAAUUCACAUAUCCCAUAAUCAAAAGAAAAAAUCAAAACUAAUUUAAUUUUUUUUUCUUAUUUUUUUAAAUCGAUUUCACAUAGAAACCGAAAAAAAAAUUAUAGAACAAAUCUACAUCAAGGAUUGAUCAAUGAAACAUGCGAUCUAAAACACACG
rnacentral:lncRNA from 1 species